UACGAAGGGGGCUAGCGUUGCUCGGAAUGACUGGGCGUAAAGGGCGCGUAGGCGGCUUGUAUAGUCGGAUGUGAAAUUCCUGGGCUUAACCUGGGGGCUGCAUACGAGACGUAUGGGCUUGAGUGCGGAAGAGGGUCGUGGAAUUCCCAGUGUAGAGGUGAAAUUCGUAGAUAUUGGGAGGAACACCAGUGGCGAAGGCGGCUCACUGGACCGGAACUGACGCUGAGGCGCGAAAGCGAUGGGGAGCGAACGAGGA
rnacentral:rRNA from 1 species